rnacentral:lncRNA from 1 species
UGGGAAGGUCAAUACUAUGUUUUCAAAGCUGUAUUUAUAACGAGUUCACCACUCUUUUUGUGUCCGCUGCUCCUUAAAAUAAUGUGUAAUAAAUUGAAAAAGUAUUGAUACUUCCAAGAAAAUCGAAACAAAGUAUAUUGACUCGAUACUGGUAAUGAUAUCGAAACAAAAAAAUAAUUCGUAGAUUAAGGUCUUAUUUGCUUAGAUUAUUCAAGCUAAGUUUAAUUAUUUUAUUAACUAAUUUUAAAAGCCACUAUUUCCAUGUGCAGAACCUUCAUGUCCACCAUCACCACCCUGCAUUAGCAUGUCCACAAACCUGCCUCGACUGCUUGUCUUCAACUCGGCCAUCAAAUCUCACAGUCGAC